ensembl:lncRNA
UGCCUCCAAAUAAUACCCAAGGUUACAAAGAACUGGAAUUACUAAAACUUAGCUGGUCUCGCUGAUAUGCAAAUCAAUUUGUUUGCAUGCUCCUAGUUAUGAACAUUCACCUUAUGAGCUCUCAUAUGCAUGGAUACAUUUGCAAAGCAACAACAUCCAGCCUCCUGAAAUCUUCUAGAGUUUUCCCCCAAAUCAAGAAGUGACACUCUGCCCCUGCCUCACUGCUCGCUUGCUCUCUCUCAUUCUCUAUCAAAAAUAAAAAUAAACAUUAAAAAAAAAUUUUUUUAAAGAAGUGAUACAGUUCUGGGUAAAUACUGUCUAGGAGUAAUUUAAGAAAUUAUGUAUUAGGGGCACCUGGGUGGCUCAGUCAGUUGAGCAUCCGACUUCAGCUCAGGUCAUGAUCUCACAGUCAAUGGGUUUGAGCCCAUGACUGGCUCUGUGCUGACAGCUCAGAGCCUGAAGCCUGCUUCAGAUUCAUUCUCUCUCUCUCCUCUCUCUCUCUUCUCUCUCUCUCUCUCUGCCUCUCCCCUGCUUGUGCUUUUUCUCUCUCAAAAAUAAGUAAACAUUUUUUAAAAAGAAAUUAUGUAUCUAUCUCAAUCAACCAAAUUGUCUUUCUCUUCUUUGGUAAAUUUCUUCUGGGGGACUGCCCAGGCCACUCCUCCCACUUUUCUUGGGACUUUCCAGGUUUCAGACUCAGUUAAUUCUAUCUAAGCAACUCUAUUUCUCAUAUCAACACACACACAUGCACACACACACUAACCCUCAUCCCUCCUUCUGCUCUCUCUUUCAACUCUGGCUUGGUUACCUUUGGGAAACAUUUUUUCCCCUCUUAAAAAGUACUUUAAUGGGCAGAACAACAUGGAAGUUUUUCGCGUCUCUCGCAUCCAUGAAAUACAGCCAGACCAACACUAAACCAUUCUGCACACCUAGAAAACUGAUUGGACGAUUAACACAACAAUCUCCACAACCUGAACUACAGAAUUCAGCAGUGAGCACCCAUUAAAUGCCAGAUGAUCCCAAGAGCUGCAUAGGACAGAGGAUAAAUAGAACCUGGAAGUUCACACUCAAGAUGCACAAAGCAGCCUGACCCUCUACACCAACACCAUCACCCCAACCAUGGAAGCCCUUUGAUGUGUGACCUCAUGUUCCGGCCAAGUGUCACAGGAUACUUACAGGGGUAAGAGAAAUGGGACUUAGCUCUGGGGAGAUACUAUGCAUGCUCCAGGCUUUGGGACCAGACAUUCUGGGGUGAGUCCCAGCUCAGCACUUACUAGUUUCAUGACCUUGAAAACGUUUUUUUAACCUGUUUCCUCAUCUACCACAAGACAAUACUACUAUUCUUGCUGGCUCUUGGGGAAUUAUAAAUACUAUAUGUAAAGAACAGUGAGUGUGUCGCCCCCCGCAGCCUGUGCCAGCUUUGGGGUCUGGGUUUGUUUUCUCCGCACAGCUGCAGACCUGGUGGCCGGGCACACAACUUCCUACGGUUCCUAAGUUUAUUCUGCUGGAAGGUGACCUUGGAGGAUCUGCGCCAAGACAAGCUGCGGAGGCCCUACGUUUUUUAGCACGGGCUGCGGCUCUGCAGAGGGGCUGAUCCGGGGCACGCGGCUGGGGCCCACGCUGCGCCGACAGACGUCGCGGAGAAGGCGGGUGAGAGCAGGCGAGGGAAGAAAAUCCGGGAUAAUGUGUUUAAUUUGAUCCGUUCCCUGGAGUCAUUAAAAUGCAUCCUCCCCUGGACUCUAAAAUUCUUGAGCUGAAAUAAUCAGUCCAACAGGCUUUUUGCUGGAGAUAAUGCGAGCACAGCUCGCGAUGCGUCGGAAAGCUCAGGCCUGUUGAAAUACUGCCCUCUUGUGUCGCGCGGCGGGCACAGCCUCUUCUUGGGACCCGCUCAGCCGCCCUGCCUCUCAGCGGAUAGCUUCCAAGCUGAAGCUAAAUGCAAGGGAGACCCCAAAUGAUCCAGCUAAUGUGUAGGUAGGAAUGGGGGUGCCAGGAGUCCAAUUCCUUAUUCACGUGAUGGAGAAUCUCUGUCGUUCAUUUUCAAGGGGUCCCCAAACGAAUUCUGAAGUAAUUACUGGCCUCUACUAUAUCUCAACAAGGGAAAAGGAAAGUACUUAAGAGACUAGACCAACCUCCACACAGGAACACCCUGUCUCCUUCCCUCUCUGUCUCUCUCCUCCGUUUUCUUCAUUCCUCCCUUCCAUUAAUUGAGUGACUUCUAAGAGAGUAGAACUUUCAAAAUGAAAAUGGGUAAGAAAAUAAAAUAUUUAGAACAAGCGCUAUCA